rnacentral:rRNA from 1 species
AUACGGAGGGUGCAAGCGUUAUUCGGAAUCACUGGGCGUAAAGGACGCGUAGGCGGGUUGGCAAGUCAGAUGUGAAAUCCUACAGCUUAACUGUAGAACUGCAUUUGAAACUGCUAACCUAGAGUAUGGGAGGGGGAGAUGGAAUUAGUGGUGUAGGGGUAAAAUCCGUAGAUAUCACUAGGAAUACCGAAAGCGAAGGCGAUCUCCUGGAACAUAACUGACGCUAAGGCGUGAAAGCGUGGGGAGCAGACAGGAUUAGAAACCCUAGUAGUCC